CUCUAAGUUAUGGUCACACAGAUGGCCCUGCUUAAACUCUGUGAGUCACAACAUAAAUUAAAGACACAUGCAUCUGAGAAAGGAGCAUGGAAGGACAAUGAAACUGUAGGCUGGGGAAGCUAUUGAGUUCUCAGAGCUUAAUGUUCUACUAUUGGAGAUCAGAAGAUAAUAUGGAGAGCAGUUCUGAUGAUGGAGGCCUGGUUUGUGAACAGAACUACAGGGAACCAAGGAAGUCAUUGAUUCAGGAACCUGCACCUAAUCCCAUAGCUGCCACUGGGAGUCCAGUGGACUGGAGAACCAUCACUCCUCAAAACCCCACCCACCAAAUUCCACUCCCCUUCCUGGCAGUCUUUUCUGCUGGAACAGAGUGCUGGCUGGUCUGCUCUCCUGAAGACAGAGAAAUUUUAAAGAAAAUGAACUUUUAAUAAUUGAGUUUUUUAAAACUGUGGAAUUUUUUAGAGCUAAACUAUAUUUAUAUUGACUAUUAAUAAGUUGUCUUGGGGAUGAACAAGAAAGGAAAAUCUCAGGUUCUAUAAAUGAUAUGCUUGCAUUUCAAGCUAAUGAAGGAUCACUUGUGCAGUUGGCUUUUAUCAAUUUGAUACAAACCUGUGCAUACU